rnacentral:lncRNA from 1 species
UAAGAAGCAUUCUUCAAAAUAUGUGUAUAGAUUUCUUGCUUUUUCUCUUCACAGUGGACAUCAAGGAAGACAGAGAAUCAUUUUUCCUCUCGAGAAAGGAAUGAAAGGGAAACUACUGUAGAAGGAAGAAUUACAUGGCCAGGAAGCAGGUGCCCAAGUGCAGCAGAGAGCUCACAGACAGUGUCUGAGCAGGAGAUAAGCAACUCCAGAAGAUGGCUUGCGUAAAGGGAAAGGUGGUGAAGG